GAGGAGCGAAAGCUCGUGAGAGUUGAUGGCGGCCAGAGGAGGGAGAAGUCAGCUGGGAGGCCCCGGUCCGGGGAGCUGGACGAUCGUGGAGGGGAUGUGCAAUAUCUCUGCAGUUGCUUUAGUGCCUGUUCAGUUCAAGUGUAAUUAUCGGACAUGAAUACAGCCAAUCAAAACAGGGCCAAGGUGCAAGACAAAUUACCAACAACAGACUGCACAUAUGGUGAUGAUUUCAGAAAAAAUAGUGAAAUGCAGUAACCACUAUUUCUGUGUUUUGCAUCGCUGAGGAUAUUUGAUCAGGCAUUUCUGGGUCACCCUUGGGCAAGGUGUAGCAGCUGCUCAGCCCCCUGAUCAGAGACACGUGAAGACAUGGGAGCAGAAUGGUACCGCAACAACAACCUCUCACUGAACGUCAGCAAAAGCUGAUUAAUGACUACAGGUGGAAGAAACCAGAGCCACUCCUCAUCAGGAUAUCAGAGGUGGAGGGAGUCAGUAACUUUAGAUUCCUUUGUGUUAUUUCAGAGAUCUGACCUGGGAUCAGCAAGUAAGUGCCAUUGCGAAGAAGGGACAGUAGCACUUAGAAGUUUGAGAAGAUUCAACAUGGCAUCUAAAACUCUGACAAACUUAUAUUGAUGCACAGUGGAGAGUAUCCUGACUGGUUGCAUUGCAACCGAGUAUGGAAACACCAAUGCCCAUGAAUAGAAAAAUCUUCAAGGAUCAGUGGAUACAGCCCAUUUCAUCACAAGAAAAAUCCACUCCACCAUUGAGGGCAUCUACGAGGAGCACUUCCACAGGAAUUCAGCAUCUGUCAUCAAAGACCCCACCAUCCAUACCAUGCUCUCACUCACUGCUGCCAUCAGGAAGUAGGAACAGAAGUAGAUCCCACACCACCAGGUUCAGGAACAUCUAUUAGCCUUCAAUCAUCAGGCUCCUGAACCAGUGUGGAUAAUUCAGGUCACCUCAACACUGAACUGAUUCCACAACCUAUGGACUUACUUUCAAGGACUCCACAACUCAUGUUCUCUAUAUUAAUUAUUAUUUUGUAUUUACACCGUUUGUCUUCUUUUACACAUUAGUUCUUUGCCAGUAUUUAGAUAUGUGCAGUAUUUCAUUGUUUCUAUUGUAUUUCUUUGUUCUACUGGGAAUGCCUGUAAGAAGAUGAAUUUGAGGACAGUAUAUGGUAACAUUUAUGUUCUUUGAUAAUAAAUUUACUUUGAACAUUG